rnacentral:tRNA from 1 species
CUUAAAUUAGUUUAAAAAAAAUUUUGGAUUGUGGAUUCAAGGAUGAUAAAUCAUCAUUAAGCA